rnacentral:rRNA from 1 species
GAUGAACGCUGGCGGCAUGCUUUACACAUGCAAGUCGGACGGGAAGGGGUGGUUCCAGUGGCGUGCGGGUGAGUAACGCGUGAGAACCUGCCGUUGGGAGGGUGACAACGGCUGUAAACGACUGCUAAUACCCCGUAGGCUAAGGAGCGAAGGGGGGCAUCCGCCGUAGGGGGGGCUGGCGUCUGAUUGGCUAGUUGGUUGGGUAAUAGCUUACCAAGGCCGUGAUCAGUAUCUGGGCCGAGAGGAGGAUCAGCCACACGGCGACUGAGAGGAGGCGCAGACUACGACGGGAGGCAGUAGUGGAGAAUUCUCAACAAGGGGAGACCGCAUGCAGGAGCACUGCGGCGUGGAGGUAAAAGGCCUACGGGUCAUGAGCUUCUUCCCCUGGCGAAGAAAGAGUGACGGUAUUGGGUGAAUAAGCACCGGCUAACUACGUG